rnacentral:rRNA from 1 species
GACCCCAGGUCAGGCGGGGCCACC